rnacentral:rRNA from 1 species
GGCUACCUGCCCUUGGGACNNGANCCCCCCGGGAAACUGGGGCUAAUUCUCGAUAGGUGAAGAACCCUGGAAUGAGUCUUCGCUUAAAAGAGGCUGGGGUUAUGCUCUCCAGUUUCGCCCAAGGAUGGGGCCGCGGCCGAUCAGGUUGUUGGUGAGGUAAUGGCUCACCAAGCCUUUUACCGGUGCGGGCCGUGGGAGCGGGAGCCCGGAGAUGGGCACUGAGACAAGGGCCCAGGCCCUACGGGGCGCAGCAGUCGCGAAAACUUUGCAAUAAGCGAAAGCUUGACAGGGCUAUCCCGAGUGCCAUCCGCUGAGGAAGGCUUUUACCCAGUCUAGAACGCUGGGGGAAUAAGGAGAGGGCAAGUCUGGUGUCAGCCGCCGCGGUAAUACCAGCUCUCCGAGUGGUGUGGAUGUUUAUUGGGCCUAAAGCAUCCGUAGCUGGCUGGGCAAGUCCCCUGUUAAAUCCACCGAUUUAAUCGUUGGUUUGCGGGGGAUACUGCUCGGCUAGGGGACGAGAGAGGCCGACGGUAUUUCCGGGGUAGGGGUGAAAUCCUAUAAUCCCGGGAAGACCACCAGUGGCGAAGGCUGUCGGCUAGAACGCGCCCGACGGUGAGGGAUGAAAGCUGGGGGAGCGAACCGGAUUAGAUACCCGGGUAGUCCCAGCUGUAAACGAUGCAGGCUAGGUGUUUGGGCGGCCACGUGCCGCUCUAGUGCCGCAGGGAAGCUGUUAAGCCUGCCGCCUGGGGAGUACGGCCGCAAGGCUGAAACUUAAAGGAAUUGGCGGGGGAGCACCACAAGGGGUGAAGCUUGCGGUUUAAUUGGAGUCAACGCCGGA